UACGGAGGAUGCGAGCGUUAUCCGGAUUUAUUGGGUUUAAAGGGUGCGUAGGCGGCUUUUUAAGUCAGUGGUGAAAUCCUGCAGCUUAACUGCAGAACUGCCGUUGAUACUGAUAGUCUUGAGUUUGGUUAAGGUAGGCGGAAUGUGUAAUGUAGCGGUGAAAUGCUUAGAUAUUACACAGAACACCAAUUGCGUAGGCAGCUUACUGAGCCGACACUGACGCUGAGGCACGAAAGCCAGGGGAGCAAACGGGAUUAGAUA
rnacentral:rRNA from 1 species